AUCUGACAUGGGGCAUGAAACUCUGUUUCUCCAAUAGUGAACCUUCUUCCAGUGAUCCCACAGGCUCCCCGGCGAGGAAGGAAGGAUCACUCCAUAAACUGCCACACCUUUUCAGUCCAAGCUCCCCGUUCCAACCCUCAGUGAACCUUGGGCCAGAAGUAAGGGUGUGGAUGCUGAGGUCCAUCUGCAGAGACCAGUAAGCCACAUGUCAGCUACACCCUGCCACAUGCAGCCAUUGCAUCAUCCGGACUCCUGAGAUCGCAUACCUGAAGCCUGGACAGAGCUCAUGGCUUCUCCUUGCAGGACUCGCGUCAACGUUACUCCCAGAACCCAGAUGAAGGGCUUUCUUACAUCAUUGGCUGGAGACGGCCGCAGACGGAGCGGUGGUGUGGUUCCCAGGUCUGAGGUGGAGAGUUGAGCAUUAUGGGAAACACUGACAGCCCACAGCCUCACUCAGAUCACUCUGUGCUCUUCCAGCUGACCAAAUUAAGCUCACAAGCUGAAUGGCUCCAGCCUACAGACUUUUAGCCUGAAAAUACCCCCAGUUAACUUUAAACUAGUGACUACUUCACAGAUUUUAUGUUAAUGACAAGUGGGUUUGAAUCAGCCUCUGACUUAGUCCAGACUGAG